rnacentral:misc_RNA from 1 species
AAGUCGUAACAAGGUCUCCGUAGGUGAACCUGCGGAGGGAUCAUUGAAGAGUUAGGGCCUCCGGCCCGACCUCCAACCCUUUGUACUCGAUACCAUGUUGCCUCGGGGGCGACCCUGCCGUCCGCGGUCUGGGGCCUCCGGUGGACCACUCAACCCUGCAUCUUUGCGUCUGAGUAAAUUUGUAAAUUAAACAAAA